ACCGAGUUGAAUGUCCGGACCAAA
rnacentral:siRNA from 1 species